rnacentral:misc_RNA from 1 species
GAUGAAGAACGUAGCGAAAUGCGAUAAGUAAUGUGAAUUGCAGAAUUCAGUGAAUCAUCGAAUCUUUGAACGCACAUUGCGCCCCUUGGUAUUCCGAGGGGCAUGCUUGUUCGAGCGUCAUUACACCACUCAAGCUAUGCUUGGUAUUGGGCGUCGUCCUUAGUUGGGCGCGCCUUAAAGACCUCGGCGAGGCCACUCCGGCUUUAGGCGUAGUAGAAUUUAUUCGAACGUCUGUCAAAGGAGAGGAACUCUGCCGACUGAAACCUUUAUUUUUCUAGGUUGACCUCGGAUCAGGUAGGGAUACCCGCUGAACUUAAGCAUAUCAAUAAGCGGAGGA